GGAUAGCUCAGUCGGUAGAGCACAAUACUCUUAAUCUCAGGUCUGUGGGUUCAAGCUCCACGUUGGACA